AGAAAAAUCCAAUGGUGGAUAAGAAGUCCAAGUCAUCUGUCCAUGUCAAAAUGAUUUCCCUCUCAUACCAAACCCAAUAAUUUGACGCCAUUUUACAGUUGUCAUAACUGAAAUUUCCUUCUUGUCACAAGUUAAGUUUGAUUCGAGGGGGAGGAAGCAAUUGCACUGGACACAAGGUUGUUUUCAAAUCAAAUGAACCUUAGACAAUAUGACCAUUAGGAUUUAGUUAUAGCUAUACACGCAUUUUAUUAGUGCAGGGUUUGUUAAGAAAAGAUGCCACGUGUGGCCAGCAGCGAGAAUAUAGGAAGUUAUCUUCAUAUAUAAGAUCUGUAACAGAAUUGGAGAAGGAUAAUAAUGAACAUAAUGAAUGAAUGUUGAGCUGAAUGCGUGAAAUUCUGCUUCUAUCUCUCUUCUUCUUCUAUUUGCUCACUAACUUGUAAACACCAUGAAUGGAACUUGGCUACCAGCCAUUUCCAUCACUAAGGCACCUCUGGAUGUUAUCCAGAUUGGUUCCCAGUCAAUCAGACACGCACAUUUCUCCUUUUAUUUUCAUUCUUAAAAUCUCUAAGCAGUUAGGAGGAGAAGGAGCCGAGUCUACUGAUGGGUUUACUACUACCACUGCUGCUUCACUUGUUCGUGCAAAAGAUGACAGUGGUUUUGUUAAAUGUGAAGAGUGCAAAAAGGAUAUGCCAGUGGCUUUAUAAGUUUCCAAGGCCGUAGUCUUGAUGCUAAAAUCAAGAUGAAUUCUGGAAGACAACAACCUUGACAGAGCCGAAAGCGAAGAAAGAGGAGAAGGGCAAUGAUCAAAAUGCACUGAAACGACCUCCCAUUACUUUCUUUCUCCUCAUGUAAUAAUGCCCUUUGUUGCUUGUUUGUGUGGUGUAAUAUAAUGUGAUGAUAAUGUGUGAAUAUGGGGAGUGGGGUUUGUAUUGAUGUGUGUUGUUCCUUAAUUAGGGGUGAUCUUAGGAAAGAGUAUAAGGAAGGCAACCUGCACUCUAAGGAAGUUAAGAAGAUAAAUGAAACGUUGCAAGGAAAAGUGGUGAGAGAUGGAAAUCAAUGACUGAUGAAGUGAGUGUUG